ACNGUUGCCGUUGCCGUCGCCGUCCUGCUCCGCCUCGUUGAAGCUCGCCACGAUUGUGGCCUCCUCCGCUUCCUUCUGGGCCAUCAUCUUUUUCUCUUCCACCCCUCCCCUUGUGGUCGUUCCCUUUUUCCCCUUAAGCUAGCUCCCGAAGCAGAGCUGAGAGGGAACGAAGGCCGAGAUCCGUACAGAUCCAAGAUCUGGAGGAACAGGGAGUGCAACGCGACAAAUCAGAACCGCGAAAACGAUACAUCAAAAGUCAAAAAAAUAAAUAAAUAAAAUAAAAUACACCCCCAAACCACCCCACCCCCCCCCCCCAAAAAAAAA
rnacentral:lncRNA from 1 species